rnacentral:lncRNA from 1 species
UAUAAUUAUCUUAAGAGAGAUAUUACAUGUUUCUUGAUUAAGUGUUUUUUUUCAUUAAUCAAUAUUUAAUGUUAUGUGCGUUUGUUUUUGUAUUCAUAACAUGAGAGUAUAUAUAUAUAUUUUUUGUUCCUUUUUCCUGGAAAUCAUAUUUUGCAGGACUUGCAGAACUUUGAUUUAGGUGUUACCAGAAUGCUUUAUAUAAGUUCCCGAUUUGCUGCUAUUUUGGGGUUUCUAUAAUAAAAAGCAGAUUGCCACCAGUUCAGCUGAUGCAGGAGUCAAACUAGAAGAAGAUGAUGAUGGAGAUAUGCUUGAAACAAUAAUAUUAGAUGUUACUAGCGUUGUUGUGGGAUUAAUAGUUGUUUCUGGGGUUUCUAUCGGCGUAGUGAUCGUGAAGCAAGGCUUAAGGAUUACUCUCUUCCAACAAAAUGACAUCUAUGGCUGGAUGCAGAUAUGUGCAGCUGGAAAGCUGAAGCCCAAAAUAAUGACGAAGAAUCAAUUGAACUGUGGCUAAGUGCUAAGACUAUCUAUGUAGACUUCAUGUAUUUAUAUGUUCUAGUGUUUUAUUUCAUGAAUGACCAUUUGGUGUUGUCCAGAAAUAAGGUUAUUGUUUAAAGAUAACAUCUGAGACAUGGCAUCAGGAUUGCUCUGUUCCAGUUGAUCGACAGGACUUGUGAUUGGAUCUAUGUGCAGGUGGCAG